UACGGAGGGGGCUAGCGUUGUUCGGAAUUACUGGGCGUAAAGCGCACGUAGGCGGCUUUGUAAGUUAGAGGUGAAAGCCCGGGGCUCAACCCCGGAAUUGCCUUUAAGACUGCAUCGCUAGAAUUGUGGAGAGGUAAGUGGAAUUCCGAGUGUAGAGGUGAAAUUCGUAGAUAUUCGGAAGAACACCGAUGGCGAAGGCAGCCAUCUGGACCGACACUGACGCUGAGGCGCGAAAGCGUGGGGAGCAAACAGG
rnacentral:rRNA from 1 species